CUGAAUGAUCCAUCUCUUUGAUGGAGAGUCUGUAUUUAUAAACAUUUACAGAUUACAAAUAUUUAUAGAUUACACAGUUGUAUAGAUGAUAACAGACUCCUAUUUACAUGUGUUUAUCUUUAUUUGCGUAUUUGAAAACAACUGAAUUUCAAAAUACACGCAGUAGCCACAAUCGCAGUUUUCCUUUCAGUAUUUUGAAGAACUCAUAAACAACCAAAACAUGAGAAUUGGAGAAGUUAAUCCGAGAGAGCUUUGGAGAGAGGGGCUCCCCUUUCUUUCUAGAACUUCUCUCCUUCCCCACCGUCCUUUUUUGAGCAGCUGGUGGCUGUGCCUCCUCCCUUCGGGGGCUCCUCUGCCACCUCUUGUGUGGCUUCUCUGCCACCCUUUGGUGUGGCUUUUCUUUCUCUUUUUUCUGUUUGUUUUGGCCCUUCUUCUCAUCAUUUUCCAGGUGUAUGCUCAGAUCUCCUCCACAUCUACUCCCCCACUACUCUUCAGCCAUUUCACCUCUCACCCUUUUUUUCUCUUAUACACUCACCCCAUCAGUCCAUUCGCUCCCCCUCCCCCUAAAAUCCUCCUAUUUCCCUAGAAUUUUCUUGGUUGUCUACUUGUUUGCUGCUGCUGUUUCUUCCCUAUAACCCAUCUUUAGAUAUGAGAUCAUGUCAUGGAGGUAUGGGCUUUGUAGUUUAAUGGUCCAUUUGGACUAAUACCUGCUCCUGGAUCGCUUGAGCAUGAUGCAUGUUGCUGACUUGCUUCCCCAAUCCCACGCUCUACGGAUCCCAUUUGUUGGUUCCCCUAACUUUCUUCUCUUUUGGCUGAGGAGCUGAUUGUUGUUUCUAGGGUUUGAUUCUAGGGUUUUUGUGUUUUGGGCAUAAAUUUUUUGUAUAGAUGAAUCACGAAUCACUGUCUUACACUGCACUAAGCUACCCUUAAUGUCUACUUUGGCUGUAAAUUGAGUUUAAUUGGAUCCCCUUUUAAUAUAUUAGUUUCCGCCAAUAUCUUCAAUCCA
rnacentral:lncRNA from 1 species